rnacentral:tRNA from 1 species
GAAGGUAUAGCCCAGUGGUAGAGUGUGUGUUUAGCAUGCACAAGGUCCUGGAUUCAAUCCCCAGUACCUUCA